UUACAGUCCUGCGCACAGGGAAAUGGAAAUGGAGGAGUGAGCAACAAGUUACUCAGUGAAGUGGCUCUAGACCAGCCUGCCCGCAUGACACUCUAUACUACUCUAUGCGGGAACUAGGACCGACUAGCCACUACAAUCAGGUAAUGUAUUUUCAUCAUUUCAUAUCAUCAUCGUUAUUUCCAAACAUUCAACUCCAUACAUUUCUAGCAACCUAGCGAUCAAUCAAUACAAUGAUCCCACUCAUUGCCACACACGUUAAACCCUAGACUGAACCGUCUCCUCAUACUAGACCGACUCGAUCCUAUGACACCUUUAACUCCCCGUUACCCGACCAUGAUGCACGUUUUUAUAUCCCGCCUCUCGCGGUUGGCACACGUUCUUAUCAUCAGUGGGUAGCUCCUACUAGGCUUCUACCCCAUAUUCUUGUGGAUUGGCCACAUCUCCUAUGGGUGCUUCCAUAUUCUUGUGGAUUCGCCACAUCUCCUAUGGAUACCUAGCGUGAACUACUGCCACACAUACUUUCCUUAGACUCUAUAUGCUUUCCCCACCCAUGCUUAACCGUAACCUUAUUCUUUCAUACUUUCACUUAUCCUUUCACAUCCUUAUCAUUUUCACUUAUCCCUUCCCAUUCUCAUUCACUUUCCUUUUCAUUUAGACUUGUACUUGGACUCAUUCACUAGACGCCACCCGUUAUCGGUGUCACACACAAUACACAUUGCACUCAAGUUCUACUUCAAUAACAUUAACAAUCAUUACUCAUCUAACAGCUUAGCAUUCAUUUCUCUCUAGCAUCCUAGCUUUAAUCACAAACCACUCAUGGGACUACACAUCCAAACAUACAAGCAUAAAUUACCAAUCCAUCAUCGCUACCACAACUCCAUUUCAAUUUACUAAGUCCCAUUUAACAAUAUGAGGGUUCUUAUGCAUCGUGUUCCAUUAAUCUAACAUCCUAGCAAUAAUCAUGAUCUAUCAUCCUAGCUUUCAAACAGGGUCUAAUCAACCCUAACUCCAACAUAAAGGAGUAUACAGUACAUGAGAACAAGAUGGGUUCAAGACACUCCACCUUAGCCUAGAUCUGGAUCCGGAUCUGGAAACAAGAGACAAGGGAGAGGAGAUCUGAACAGAUCUGGAACAAGGAAACAAGAGAGCUGCGAGAUCUGACCACCACCACCAAUCGGCUGCAACCACCACCACCACACGGUACCGGCGAGGAGGAGGGAGAGAGGAGAGAGGGAAGGAGAGAGAGAGACGGCGCAGGGAAGAGAGAGAGAGAGGCUUGAGAGAAGAAGAGAGAAAAGGAAAAGAGAAGCUUGACGGCUAGGGUUUCCUAGUCUCUAUAAAUCUCUGCAGAGCUUCGCUCAAGUUUCAGAAUGAGAGAAAAGUGAGAGGAGGCAGCUUCAUUUAUAGGAAAAGGAGGAAACCCUAGGUCAUUAACCUUAAUGGGCUGCAGUCCUAACGGGCUCUCCUUAAGAAAUUUUUUGGCCAGGAACCGGGCCGUUACAUUGUUUCUCUCUAGUUCUAAGAUCAUCUUUAUCCGGCUCUCUGGCCGAUGUCGGAGUGAGCUCCCUUAGCCACCAUCGGUUUGGUUUGUGUCUUCUGUUUGUUUCUAUGUUUGCAUCUCUUUUCGGCUAGGAUUUUAUUCUCUCAAAGUGUGGUUCUAGGUCUGGAUCUUCAAAUAUUGAUUUUGUUGGUUGGGGUUCGUUAACGAUGGCUCAGUCGGUACUUGUCUUCGGAUUUGUCUCGUUACCUCUGCUCCGUCGUGUUCUCUACUUAGAUUUCUUCCGGUGUUCUGUGGAGGCCUCAUUCAGUGCCGGCUCUUGACUAUCGCAACAUAGGAAUUGGUCAUGGGUUCAUGGGUCCAAAUUUUUGUAAUGUUAUUUAAGUGGUUAUAAGGACCUAUUUCACUAUGUUAAUUUAUCAAAUAAUUGGUGAAUUUGUAACAAAAAGGACCCAUAAUAAAUUAAACCUAGCUACUACAAAGACAAAACAAACAAAUUAUGUAUGAUUCACCAUUCCCAAUUUUCUGUUCACAAAACCUAAUUUUCAUAUAAAGGCCCAUUUUUCUAAAAAAAAAAAAAAAAAUUAAAUACCAAAACGUUUUUUGGUUCAUUUUUUUUGAAAUGCAAUAAAAAUGUUGACGAAAAUAUCUAAAAAACAUCCAUAUAUCAUGUUUCGUCUGAGACUAUUAAAUUAUUUAAGACGCCUCUGGCCUCAUUGAUGUCUCGGGUUCAAGAUUUUCGGGUUGCAUGUUCAAUUUUUCUUUUUGUGGUAUUUCCUCUGCUGUUAGGAAGAAGUGAUUUUCAGAGCAAUAUAUUGAGGUGCUGCUUCAUCCCAAAUAAUGUUCGGCUGGAUGAUGUGCGCUUACCUUAUCUUUCCUCCUUGGUGGUUUCUUCUUUCUUGGGUGUCAUGUUAGUUUGAUCGAUAACUCUUUGUUUUUACUUUAGUCCUCGUUUUAUGUAUACUUCUAUAUCUCCUGAAAAAUUUGUUAAUUCUGUCGGCUAAAGUUUUCCGGAAGAACGUCUGUUUUCUGCUGACGUUAAGGAGUUCUUAUAAUUCUAGUUUUGUAUCCCUCCAA